rnacentral:lncRNA from 1 species
CCUACCUUGUGUGCGCUAAUUUCCAUAUCGAUACUGAAUACUGUUUACAUGAAAAUCUCAAUCAAGAAGAAUCGAAAGGGAGAACCAAAUAUUUAUUUCUUACUGUUUGGUGCGGGGGUGACAAAAUAAUUUUCUGCCCCUGUGUCAUAUAACCUAGGUAUAUCUCUGCCUUGCACCUAUUAUUUUCACACAAAUACACAUUUGUUAAACUUAACAUAAUAUUAAGAAU